rnacentral:rRNA from 1 species
UACGAAGGGGGCUAGCGUUGCUCGGAAUCACUGGGCGUAAAGGGUGCGUAGGUGGGUCUUUUAGUCAGGGGUGAAAUGCCAAGGCUCAACCUUGGAACUGCCUUUGAUACUGGAGAUCUUGAGUCCGGGAGAGGUGAGUGGAAUUGCGAGUGUAGAGGUGAAAUUCGUAGAUAUUCGCAAGAACACCAGUGGCGAAGGCGGCUCACUGGCCCGGAACUGACGCUGAGACGCGAAAGCGUGGGGAGCAAACAGG